CGGAGGGGCUAGCGUUGUUCGGAAUUACUGGGGCGUAAAGCGCGCGUAGGCGGCUUUGCAAGUUAGAGGUGAAAGCCCGAAGCUCAACUUCGGAAUUGUCCUUUAAAACUGCAAAGCUAGAAUUGUGGAGAGGUGAGUGGAAUUCCGAGUGUAGAGGUGAAAUUCGUAGAUAUUCGGAAGAACACCAGUGGCGAAGGCGACUCACUGGACACAUAUUGACGCUGAGGUGCGAAAAGCGUGGGGAGCAAACAGGAUU
rnacentral:rRNA from 1 species